UCCGGUUUAUCACCGGCAGUCUCCCUAGAGUUCCCACCUUUACGUGCUGGCAACUAAGGAUAAGGGUUGCGCUCGUUGCGGGACUUAACCCAACAUUUCACAACACGAGCUGACGACAGCCAUGCAGCACCUGUCUUAGCGUUCCCGAAGGCACAGCCGUAUCUCUACAGCCUUCGCUAGAUGUCAAGAGUAGGUAAGGUUCUUCGCGUUGCGUCGAAUUAAACCACAUGCUCCACCGCUUGUGCGGGCCCCCGUCAAUUCAUUUGAGUUUUAAUCUUGCGACCGUACUCCCCAGGCGGUCUACUUAGUGCGUUAGCUGCGCUACUCACAGUACAAGACCACGAACAGCUAGUAGACAUCGUUUACGGCGUGGACUAC
rnacentral:misc_RNA from 1 species